CUCCUCCUUUGUCACUUUCUGCUGUGCCAUUACAUUCUGGGGUGAGCGCCUCCCCGAGCUGGGCUUCCCUGAUUCGUUGCUGAUGACAGAGCCAUUCUCACUGGGCGACCUGCUGGAGGUAACCAUAGCAACAGGGAGACGACUCAGAACCUACUGGCAUGUGGCCCCUACAAUGGAAAACUGACUGGAAUAAAAUGCAGCCCCUGACCCGUCGGGCAUCUCCUACCACACUUCGUCUGGCUCCUGUUUUCAGUCUCCUGGCCUGUGUGUGAGCCAUCGGCAGUCUGCAGCAGCGGCUAAGAAUUUAGUGAAAAGGACAAGUUGGUGCUGGCUUGUCCCCCUCAUUUCCACCUUCUUUGGUUCCUUCACACUGCACUGGAUACUUCAGGGGACUGAGCUGAUGAUGGGUGACCAGAAGGACAUUAAGGAAUGACAAGCUUAAGAUGUGGCCUUUGUUAUUAGGUUAACAAGAAUCCCUGUACAUGUUCAGUACUUACAGCCUGCAAGACACUGACACCUCAUUUCAUUCUCACAACAACCCUAUGGGGAAAACUGGGCAAACAGCACAGUCUCCACUUUAUGGGUAAGAAAACAAAAGCUCAGAGAGGUUCAGUGACUUGCCCAAGACCACACAGCUAGGUGGUGAAAGACUCAAGACUUGUAUCCUGCUCUUUUGACUGACAGGAUAGUUGUCUUUUAACCUCCAACUUGAAAAUCACCUGAGAUUAACUAACUGCCCACUGGACACACACUGGAAACCCCUAACACUACUAAUACAACAUCAUGAAACAUUUAUAGUUGCUUUAAUGAGUUUUGUAAAAUUAUCAAAUCAAAAUAAUCCCCAACAAUUUUAAUGGUAGACAUGUUACCUGGAUAUUUUUAAGAAACAUGUGUAAUAAUAAAAAUCAACUUACCUA